rnacentral:rRNA from 1 species
GGGUUGUGAGGUUAAGCGACUAAGCGUACACGGUGGAUGCCCUGGCAGUCAGAGGCGAUGAAGGGCGUGCUAAUCUGCGAUAAGCGCCGGUAAGGUGAUAUGAACCGUUAUAACCGGCGAUACCCGAAUGGGGAAACCCAGUGUGAUUCGUCACACUAUCAUUAACUGAAUCCAUAGGUUAAUGAGGCGAACCGGGGGAACUGAAACAUCUAAGUACCCCGAGGAAAAGAAAUCAACCGAGAUUCCCCCAGUAGCGGCGAGCGAACGGGGAGGAGCCCAGAGCCUGAAUCAGCAUGUGUGUUAGUGGAAGCGUCUGGAAAGGCGCGCGAUACAGGGUGACAGCCCCGUACACAAAAGCGCAUGUGCUGUGAGCUCGAUGAGUAGGGCGGGACACGUGGUAUCCUGUCUGAAUAUGGGGGGACCAUCCUCCAAGGCUAAAUACUCCUGACUGACCGAUAGUGAACCAGUACCGUGAGGGAAAGGCGAAAAGAACCCCGGCGAGGGGAGUGAAAAAGAACCUGAAACCGUGUACGUACAAGCAGUGGGAGCACAGGUUUACCUGUGUGACUGCGUACCUUUUGUAUAAUGGGUCAGCGACUUAUAUUCUGUAGCAAGGUUAACCGAAUAGGGGAGCCGGAGGGAAACCGAGUCUUAAUUGGGCGUUAAGUUGCAGGGUAUAGACCCGAAACCCGGUGAUCUAGCCAUGGGCAGGUUGAAGGUUGGGUAACACUAACUGGAGGACCGAACCGACUAAUGUUGAAAAAUUAGCGGAUGACCUGUGGCUGGGGGUGAAAGGCCAAUCAAACCGGGAGAUAGCUGGUUCUCCCCGAAAGCUAUUUAGGUAGCGCCUCGUGAAUUCAUCUCCGGGGGUAGAGCACUGUUUCGGCUAGGGGGCCAUCCCGGCUUACCAACCCGAUGCAAACUGCGAAUACCGGAGAAUGUUAUCACGGGAGACACACGGCGGGUGCUAACGUCCGUCGUGAAGAGGGAAACAACCCAGACCGCCAGCUAAGGUCCCAAAGUCAUGGUUAAGUGGGAAACGAUGUGGGAAGGCCCAGACAGCCAGGAUGUUGGCUUAGAAGCAGCCAUCAUUUAAAGAAAGCGUAAUAGCUCACUGGUCGAGUCGGCCUGCGCGGAAGAUGUAACGGGGCUAAACCAUGCACCGAAGCUGCGGCAGCGACGCUUAUGCGUUGUUGGGUAGGGGAGCGUUCUGUAAGCCUGCGAAGGUGGCCUGUGAGGGUUGCUGGAGGUAUCAGAAGUGCGAAUGCUGACAUAAGUAACGAUAAAGCGGGUGAAAAGCCCGCUCGCCGGAAGACCAAGGGUUCCUGUCCAACGUUAAUCGGGGCAGGGUGAGUCGACCCCUAAGGCGAGGCCGAAAGGCGUAGUCGAUGGGAAACGGGUUAAUAUUCCCGUACUUGGUGUUACUGCGAAGGGGGGACGGAGAAGGCUAUGUUGGCCGGGCGACGGUUGUCCCGGUUUAAGCGUGUAGGUGUGUGUUCCAGGUAAAUCCGGUUCACUUUAACACUGAGGCGUGAUGACGAGGCACUACGGUGCUGAAGCAACAAAUGCCCUGCUUCCAGGAAAAGCCUCUAAGCAUCAGGUAACAUCAAAUCGUACCCCAAACCGACACAGGUGGUCAGGUAGAGAAUACCAAGGCGCUUGAGAGAACUCGGGUGAAGGAACUAGGCAAAAUGGUGCCGUAACUUCGGGAGAAGGCACGCUGACACGUAGGUGAAGUGAUUUACUCAUGGAGCUGAAGUCAGUCGAAGAUACCAGCUGGCUGCAACUGUUUAUUAAAAACACAGCACUGUGCAAACACGAAAGUGGACGUAUACGGUGUGACGCCUGCCCGGUGCCGGAAGGUUAAUUGAUGGGGUCAGCGCAAGCGAAGCUCCUGAUCGAAGCCCCGGUAAACGGCGGCCGUAACUAUAACGGUCCUAAGGUAGCGAAAUUCCUUGUCGGGUAAGUUCCGACCUGCACGAAUGGCGUAAUGAUGGCCAGGCUGUCUCCACCCGAGACUCAGUGAAAUUGAACUCGCUGUGAAGAUGCAGUGUACCCGCGGCAAGACGGAAAGACCCCGUGAACCUUUACUAUAGCUUGACACUGAACAUUGAGCCUUGAUGUGUAGGAUAGGUGGGAGGCUUUGAAGUGUGGACGCCAGUCUGCAUGGAGCCGACCUUGAAAUACCACCCUUUAAUGUUUGAUGUUCUAACGUGGACCCGUAAUCCGGGUUGCGGACAGUGUCUGGUGGGUAGUUUGACUGGGGCGGUCUCCUCCUAAAGAGUAACGGAGGAGCACGAAGGUUGGCUAAUCCUGGUCGGACAUCAGGAGGUUAGUGCAAUGGCAUAAGCCAGCUUGACUGCGAGCGUGACGGCGCGAGCAGGUGCGAAAGCAGGUCAUAGUGAUCCGGUGGUUCUGAAUGGAAGGGCCAUCGCUCAACGGAUAAAAGGUACUCCGGGGAUAACAGGCUGAUACCGCCCAAGAGUUCAUAUCGACGGCGGUGUUUGGCACCUCGAUGUCGGCUCAUCACAUCCUGGGGCUGAAGUAGGUCCCAAGGGUAUGGCUGUUCGCCAUUUAAAGUGGUACGCGAGCUGGGUUUAGAACGUCGUGAGACAGUUCGGUCCCUAUCUGCCGUGGGCGCUGGAGAACUGAGGGGGGCUGCUCCUAGUACGAGAGGACCGGAGUGGACGCAUCACUGGUGUUCGGGUUGUCAUGCCAAUGGCACUGCCCGGUAGCUAAAUGCGGAAGAGAUAAGUGCUGAAAGCAUCUAAGCACGAAACUUGCCCCGAG